GAACUAAGAAGCAAACCUACAUUCUUCUUCCCAAAGUCCAUGUUUCUCCCCCUCGCCAUCCUCUUCACCAAAAACUACAUUCAUUGUAUUCAGCUCCUGCAAAGAGCACACAUUAAGAAACAGGUUUAAGGAAGUGUUAGACACUGAAUGUAUUCGACCCCCAAAAUUCAUGUGUUGAAAUCCUGACUCCUAGGACUAACUGUUAGGAGGUAGGGCCUUUGGGAGAUGAUUGGGUUUUGAGGGUGGAGCCCCUCAUGAAUGGGAUUAGUGCCCUUAUAAAAGAGGCCCUGGGGAGCUGUCUCCCUUUUCCACCAUGUGAGGACACGGCAAGAAAAUGGCUGUCUACAAAGCAGGAAGCAGGCCCUCACCACACACUAAUAUACCAGCACCUUGACCUUGACCUCCCCCCAUCUCCAGAACUGUGAGGAGUAAGUGUUGUUUAAGCCACCUAGUCUGUGGUAUUUUUGUUAUAAUAGCCCAAAUGGACUAAGAAAUGAAGAGAAAUUAAGAUGGGGAGGGCUAUUUUCAUAAUAAGGAGCAGAAAACUAGGAAGAGUAGAUAUAUUUAGAAGGGUUAAGAGGAGAGGGGAGAAUGUAUAUGUUUGGAUAGGGAG
rnacentral:lncRNA from 1 species